UAAYGACUCUCGGCAACGGAUAUCUCGGCUCYCGCAUCGAUGAAGAACGUAGCGAAAUGCGAUACUUGGUGUGAAUUGCAGAAUCCCGUGAACCAUCGAGUCUUUGAACGCAAGUUGCGCCCUAAGCCGUUAGGCCGAGGGCACGUCUGCCUGGGUGUCACG
rnacentral:rRNA from 1 species